GACGAACCGUGCAAACGUUAUUCGGAAUCACUGGGCAUAAAGGGCGCGUAGGCGGCUUUCUAAGUCAGGGGUGAAAUCCGGCAGCUCAACUGUCGCAGUGCCUUUGAUACUGGAGAGCUCGAGGGAGGUAGGGGUCUGUGGAACUUCCGGUGGAGCGGUGAAAUGCGUUGAUAUCAGGAGGAACACCGGUGGCGAAGGCGGAUCUCUGGGCCUGUCCUGACGCUCAGGCGCGAAAGCUAGGGGAGCAAACAGG
rnacentral:rRNA from 1 species